rnacentral:rRNA from 1 species
GACGAACGCUGGCGGCGUGCUUAACACAUGCAAGUCGAGCGGUAAGGCCCUUUCGGGGGUACACGAGCGGCGAACGGGUGAGUAACACGUGGGUGACCUGCCCUCAGCUCUGGGAUAAGCCUGGGAAACUGGGUCGUAAUACCGGAUAUGACUCCAUGACGCAUGUUGUGGGGUGGAAAGCCUUGUGCGGCUGAGGAUGGGCCCGCGGCCUAUCAGCUUGUUGGUGGGGGAUGGCCUACCAAGGCGACGACGGGUAGCCGGCCUGAGAGGGCGACC